CGUACGACGAGUUUGAUCCUGGCUCAGAUUGAACGCUGGCGGCAUGCUUUACACAUGCAAGUCGAACGGUAACAGGGACUUCGGUCUGCUGACGAGUGGCGAACGGGUGAGUAACAUAUCGGAACGUGCCCAGUAAUGGGGGAUAGCUCGGCGAAAGCCGGAUUAAUACCGCAUACGCCCUGAGGGGAAAGUGGGGGAUCUUCGGACCUCACGUUAUUGGAGCGGCCGAUAUCGGAUUAGCUAGUUGGUGGGGUAAAGGCCUACUAAGGCGACGAUCCGUAGCUGGUCUGAGAGGAUGAUCAGCCACACUGGGACUGAGACACGGCCCAGACUCCUACGGGAGGCAGCAGUGGGGAAUUUUGGACAAUGGGCGAAAGCCUGAUCCAGCCAUGCCGCGUGAGUGAAGAAGGCCUUCGGGUUGUAAAGCUCUUUCAGGUGGAAAGAAAGCGGAUGGGCUAAUACCCUGUUCGGAUGACGGUACCACCAGAAGAAGCACCGGCUAACUACGUG
rnacentral:rRNA from 1 species